GGCCGGUUAGCUCAGUCGGUUAGAGCGUGGUGCUGAUGACACCAAGGUCACGAGUUCAAUCCCCGCUCCGUCCC
rfam:Apaloderma vittatum contig75026, whole genome shotgun sequence.